GCAAGCCGAGCGGUAUGUUUCUUCGGAAAUGAGAGAGCGGCGUACGGGUGCGGGAACACGUGUGCAACCUGCCUUUAUCUAGAGGAUAGCCUUUCGAAAGGAAGAUUAAUACUCUAUAAUAUAUUAAUUGGCAUCAAUUGAUAUUGAAAACUCCGGUGGAUAGAGAUGGGCACGCGCAAGAUUAGCUAGUUGGCGGGGUAACGGCCCACCAAGCCUACGAUCAAUAGCUGAUGUGAGAGCAUGAUCAGCCACACGGGCACUGAGACACGGGCCCGACUCCUACGGGAGGCAGCAGUAAGGAAUAUUGGGCAAUGGACGAAAGUCUGACCCAGCCAUGCCGCGUGAAGGAUGAAGGUCCUCUGGAUUGUAAACUUCUUUUUUCUGAGGAGAAAUGCACUUUUUCUAAAGUGUUUGACGGUACCAGAAGAAUAAGCACCGGCUAACUCCGUG
rnacentral:rRNA from 1 species